CACGGAAGGGGCAAGCGUUGUUCGGAAUCAUUGGGCGUAAAGGGCGCGUAGGUGGUCUUGUGUGUCUAUCGUGAAAGCACACGGCUCAACCGUGUAAAGUCGGUGGAAACUGCAGGACUUGAGGUUGGGAGGGGCUGGUGGAAUUCCCUGUGUAGCGGUGAAAUGCGUAGAGAUGGGGGAGAACACUUGUGGCGAAGGCGGCCAGCUGGACCAAUCCUGACACUGAGGCGCGACAGCGUGGGGAGCAAACAGG
rnacentral:rRNA from 1 species